UGGGGAAUUUUGGACAAUGGGCGAAAGCCUGAUCCAGCAAUGCCGCGUGUGUGAAGAAGGCCUUCGGGUUGUAAAGCACUUUUGUCCGGAAAGAAAUCCUUGGCUCUAAUACAGUCGGGGGAUGACGGUACCGGAAGAAUAAGCACCGGCUAACUACGUGCCAGCAGCCGCGGUAAUACGUAGGGUGCAAGCGUUAAUCGGAAUUACUGGGCGUAAAGCGUGCGCAGGCGGUUUGCUAAGACCGAUGUGAAAUCCCCGGGGCUCAACCUGGGAAACUGCAUUGGUGACUGGGCAGGCUAGAGUAUGGCAGAGGGGGGUAGAAUUCCACGUGUAGCAGUGAAAAUGCGUAGAGAUGUGGAGGAAUACCGAUGGCGAAAGGCAGCCCCCUGGGCCAAUACUGACGCUCAUGCACGAAAGCGUGGGGAGCAAACAGGAUU
rnacentral:rRNA from 1 species